rnacentral:rRNA from 1 species
GAUGAACGCUAGCUACAGGCUUAACACAUGCAAGUCGAGGGGCAGCGGGAUUGAAGCUUGCUUCAAUUGCCGGCGACCGGCGCACGGGUGAGUAACGCGUAUCCAACCUUCCGUACACUCAGGGAUAGCCUUUCGAAAGAAAGAUUAAUACCUGAUGGUAUCUUAAGCACACAUGUAAUUAAGAUUAAAGAUUUAUCGGUGUACGAUGGGGAUGCGUUCCAUUAGGUAGUAGGCGGGGUAACGGCCCACCUAGCCAACGAUGGAUAGGGGUUCUGAGAGGAAGGUCCCCCACAUUGGAACUGAGACACGGUCCAAACUCCUACGGGAGGCAGCAGUGAGGAAUAUUGGUCAAUGGGCGAGAGCCUGAACCAGCCAAGUAGCGUGAAGGAUGAAGGUCCUACGGAUUGUAAACUUCUUUUAUACGGGAAUAAAGUUUCCUACGUGUAGGAUUUUGUAUGUACCGUAUGAAUAAGCAUCGGCUAACUCCGUG